UACGUAGGGGGCAAGCGUUGUCCGGAAUCAUUGGGCGUAAAGCGCGUGUAGGCGGCUCGAUAAGUCUGCUGUGAAAGUCCAAGGCUCAACCUUGGGAUGCCGGUGGAUACUGUCGAGCUCGAGUCCAGAAGAGGAGUGUGGAAUUCCUGGUGUAGCGGUGAAAUGCGCAGAUAUCAGGAGGAACACCAAUGGCGAAGGCAGCACUCUGGGACGUGACUGACGCUGAGACGCGAAAGCGUGGGGAGCAAACAGG
rnacentral:rRNA from 1 species